AAGUCGUAACAAGGUUUCCGUAGGUGAACCUGCGGAAGGAUCAUUAGCAAGAUUGCCUCCUCUCCUCAUCAUCAUUGCCUUCUUUGGAGGGUGAAUGGUGAUUGAGGGUGAGGAAGAAAGGCAAGUGCCAUCCUUGUGUUAUGUUUUCAUGUGUAUGUGUUUUGCGUGAAUUCGUUCGCGCAUUCGCAUCAUUUUAUACAUAUUCCAACACCUUUAAUUCAUUCUGAACAAACCUUGUCAUUGCUCGCAAGAGCAUGCACAAACCAACCGAAAACUGCCAGCAAUGGAUCACUCGGUUCUC
rnacentral:misc_RNA from 1 species